rnacentral:rRNA from 1 species
CCUACUAUGUUACGACUUAUCUCAUUUUGGUAAUGAAAGCGACGGGCGAUAUGUACAUGAUUUAGAGCUUAUAUCUAACUAAACAUAUUAAAUUUAAUUUACAAUCAAAUCCUCCUUCUAAUUAAUUAUUUAAAUUAAUAUUCCGUAUUAAAUAAAUUUUUAUUGUAACCCAUUUUAACUUAAGCAUUAGCUGCACCUUGAUCUAAUAUAUUUAAUAUUGUUAAUAAUUAUCGUUCAGUAAUUUAUUCUAUAAAAAUUACCUAAUAAUGAUGGUAUACAUACUGCCUUUACAAGCUUAAGUAAGAUUCUUCGUGGUGUAUCGAUUCAAAAACAGGUUCCUCUGACAAGACUAAAUCACCGCCAAAUUCUUCAAAUUUCAAGUACAUAACUUUAAAUACUUAGGGUUAAAAAAUUACUUUUUAGUAU